UACGAAGGGGGCUAGCGUUGUUCGGAAUUACUGGGCGUAAAGCGCGUGUAGGCGGGUCUUUAAGUCCGGGGUGAAAUGCCAAGGCUCAACCUUGGAACUGCCUUUGAUACUGGAGGGCUUGAAUCCGGGAGAGGGAUGUGGAAUUCCAGGUGUAGCGGUGAAAUGCGUAGAUAUCUGGAGGAACACCGGUGGCGAAGGCGGCAUCCUGGACCGGUAUUGACGCUGAGGCGCGAAAGCUAGGGGAGCAAACGGG
rnacentral:rRNA from 1 species